rnacentral:lncRNA from 13 species
GUCACCUGCUUCUGUGGAAAAUGGAAAAAUUAAGGUAGUUUUUGAAAACCUUAAUGCCACACAGAGGCAUUUUAAAACUUCUUGGGAGUCUGCUGUAAACACAUACAGUACAGGACUAAAACACACUGGAAGUACUAAGGAUAGAGACAGUUUGAAAAAAUUUGAAAAUAGCUGUUACAGCUUCAUUUGCUUAACUUCUUGGUGCCUCGGUUUCCCCACCUGUGUAAUGGAAAAGAUUUUACAGUAGAAGAAACGAAGAAGCAGUUGAAUCAGCUGCUUGAGAGAGCAGAAACUCUGGUGCCAGGCUGGGUCCUUGUUACAGGACUGUCAUUUACUAGCAGAUGGGCAAGUUAUUAGUACUUAUCUUUUCUGUGCCUCAGUUUCCUCAUCUGUAAAACACAGUUAAUAGUACCCAUAGUGUAGAGUUGCUGUGAGAAUUACCAUUUCAAGCGUUGCCUGGCACAUAGCUAUGAGCAUGUGUUAACUCUCUCUAGUUCUGCAAAGUUUCCUUAACGUAUCAAAUAUCAUAUCGUCUUACUACGAGAUGCACGUACUUCUGACUUUCUCGCCACUUUUAUUGGAAAAUACUCUUAUGUUUGACCCAGCUGUAUGUUGGAUACAGUUCAUUUACUUUCCCUAUCAGAGUGAAUUCCGCCCUUGUCUGCUUUUCAAAGAUAAAAAUGGAGAAAAUUAUCAACUUAGAAGAUGGCAGCCAGACUUGAAACGACGGGAAGGGAAGCAGCUCUUCCAGAAAAGGAGGGAUGCUGAGUAAACAGCCCCCGAAGCGCUCCUGGCUGGGCUCCAGGCGUUUGGAUCCCUUCACACUAAGCUCCAGAGGUUCUGACCUUCUGACGCCAUGGAAUGGAGGCCGCCAUGAAAUCCAAGUUUCAGUCAAUGAACACAGCCGACUAGUAAAGCCACUCCAGCUGUGCGAAGUCCACAAACCCAGAAGCCAGGAUGACUUGGGGCGACCCAUGACAGGCAAGACCGACGCAAUCUUCUUGGGGGAAUUCCUGCAGGGACUAGUUGAGGUCCUGGCUGCAAUUCAAGAAUGAGUUGCAUCUUGGAGCUGCUUCAGAGACCAGCCUUGGGACCAAGAUUUCCUUUCCACCCUCGCCACUUCAAAGCCGUCCUGGAAGACUACGUGUGCCUGUGUGUGUGCAUGCGAGGUGUACAUGGCUUCUAGUCAAAUAAAAAAAUCCACAUGACUGUAUGGAGCUUCUCU